CAUGGCCCAGGUGUGCCCCGUGGCCUAGGGCUUUGUUGGUCACAGCCACCAGACCGUGGGUCUCAUCCCCACAGCAGCACCAGGGCAGGGACUGAGCCACCCACACACUGAGCACAGCCCCAGCCGUUUUCCCAGUGCAACGGGAAACCUCACCAACCCUGAAAACUGAAAUCCCUGAUCCUUGUGCUAGAGCUGAAUAUGCCCCUUGUCUCCUGGGUCCACUGCCACCAGGGCCUCCAGGCCCUCAUGGCAAAGGGAUGCCCAGCAUGGGCCCAGCCGCACCCCUGCAGGGCACAGAGCCUCCACCACCUUCCAGGCCGUCCUCGAAUGCGCUGCCCCCUCCAGCCUGUGCAGGCGUACACGGGGGUGCAGCUUGGGGGAUACAGUCAAGGGGAGCCCUUCUCCCACAGGAGGACAUUGGGGUGUGGGGCCUGGGGCACUGGUUCAGGUACCCCCUUAUCCCGGGCCAGGAAUGAGCUCAGUGACCACUUGGAUGCUAUGGACUCCAACCUGGACAACCUGCAGACCAUGCUGAGCAGCCACGGCUUCAGCGUGGACACCAGUGCCCUGCUGGACGUGAGUCGAGCCCCGCCUCCCCGCCCUGCCCCGCCCCGCCCCCGGGUGCUGUUCUGACUUCCCUCCCUCCUCCGCAGCUGUUCAGCCCCUCGGUGACCGUGCCCGACAUGAGCCUGCCUGACCUUGACAGCAGCCUGGCCAGUGUGCGUAGGCGGGCGGGGGGUGAGGGGGAAUGAGACCAGCAGGAGUGCUCACAAUACCAUCUCCUCCACCCCACAGAUCCAAGAGCUCCUGUCUCCCCAGGAGCCCCCCAGGCCUCCCGAGGCAGAGAACAGCAGCCCGGAUUCAGGUGAGCCAAGUCCCACCAGCCCCAUCUCUGCCCCCAACCCCCACUGCCUUGACACCCCCACCCCCACAGGGAAGCAGCUGGUACACUACACAGCGCAGCCGCUGUUCCUGCUGGACCCCGGCUCCGUGGACACCGGGAGCAACGACCUG
rnacentral:sRNA from 1 species